rnacentral:rRNA from 1 species
CAAGUCGAGCGAGGUAUUUAUACCUAGCGGCGGACGGGUGAGUAACACGUGGGUAACCUGCCUCAAAGUGGGGAAUAGCCUUCCGAAAGGGAGAUUAAUACCGCAUAAUGUACACAUUUAGCAUUAUCAGUGUACCAAAGGAGAAAUCCGCUUUGAGAUGGGCCUGCGGCGCAUUAGCUAGUUGGUGGGGUAACGGCUCACCAAGGCCACGAUGCGUAGCCGACCUGAGAGGGUGAUCGGCCACAUUGGAACUGAGACACGGUCCAGACUCC